rnacentral:rRNA from 1 species
GACGAACGCUGGCGGCGUGCUUAACACAUGCAAGUCGAACGGAAAGGCCUCUUUCGGGGGGUACUCGAGUGGCGAACGGGUGAGUAACACGUGAGUAACCUGCCCUUGACUUUGGGAUAACUUCAGGAAACUGGGGCUAAUACCGGAUAGGAGCUCCUGCUGCAUGGUGGGGGUUGGAAAGUUUCGGCGGUUGGGGAUGGACUCGCGGCUUAUCAGCUUGUUGGUGGGGUAGUGGCUUACCAAGGCUUUGACGGGUAGCCGGCCUGAGGGGGUGACCGGCCACAUUGGGACUGAGAUACGGCCCAGACUCCUACGGGAGGCAGCAGUGGGGAAUAUUGCACAAUGGGUGGAAGCCUGAUGCAGCAACGCCGGGUGCGGGAUGACGGCCUUCGGGUUGUAAACCGCUUUCGCUCAUGACGAAGCUUUGUGUGACGGUAGUGGGUAAAGAAGCACCGGCUAACUACGUG